rnacentral:rRNA from 1 species
GCGGGGACUCGUGAGAGACUGCCGGGGUCAACUCGGAGGAAGGUGGGGAUGACGUCAAGUCAUCAUGCCCCUUAUGUCCAGGGCUUCACACAUGCUACAAUGGCCGGUACAAAGGGCUGCGAUGCCGGGAGGUGGAGCGAAUCCUUUCAAAGCCGGUCUCAGUUCGGAUCGGGGUCUGCAACUCGACCCCGUGAAGUCGGAGUCGCUAGUAAUCGCAGAUCAGCAACGCUGCGGUGAAUACGUUCCCGGGCCUUG